rnacentral:pre_miRNA from 1 species
UCCAAGUCUUUUAUUUAUCUGCAUUUGCACCUGCACCUUUCUCUCUACAGUUUCCAGCUGAAGAAUUGCUGUGAAAAGUUGAAAUGUUUUGGUUUAGGAUAUAUUAGAGAGAGAGGUGCAGGUGCAAGUGCAGACAAAUGGAAUCUUGGU